CGGGCCCUAUGCAAUGGCUGGAUCCGCGAACCCCGCCAGAUUCGGAAGGAAGCAACGGUAGCGAGUUCCUCCAUGUGCCGUAGGUCGCCUGG
rnacentral:SRP_RNA from 1 species